rnacentral:rRNA from 1 species
UUAAAUUGAAGAGUUUGAUCAUGGCUCAGAUUGAACGCUGGCGGCAGGCCUAACACAUGCAAGUCGAGCGGAAACGAGUUAUCAGAACCUUCGGGGGACGAUAACGGCGUCGAGCGGCGGACGGGUGAGUAAUGCCUAGGAAAUUGCCCUGA